rnacentral:rRNA from 1 species
AACGAACGCUGGCGGUAUGCCUAACACAUGCAAGUCGAACGAGACCUUCGGGUCUAGUGGCGCACGGGUGCGUAACGCGUGGGAACCUGCCCUUAGGUUCGGAAUAACUCCCCGAAAGGGGUGCUAAUACCGGAUAAUUUCUUCGGACCAAAGAUUUAUCGCCUUUGGAUGGGCCCGCGUUGGAUUAGCUAGUUGGUAGGGUAAAAGCCUACCAAGGCGACGAUCCAUAGCUGGUCUGAGAGGAUGAUCAGCCACACUGGGACUGAGACACGGCCCAGACUCCUACGGGAGGCAGCAGUGGGGAAUAUUGGACAAUGGGCGAAAGCCUGAUCCAGCAAUGCCGCGUGAGUGAUGAAGGCCUUAGGGUUGUAAAGCUCUUUUACCCGGGAUGAUAAUGACAGUACCGGGAGAAUAAGCUCCGGCUAACUCCGUG